rnacentral:rRNA from 1 species
UACGUAGGUGGCAAGCGUUGUCCGGAAUUAUUGGGCGUAAAGCGCGCGCAGGUGGUUUCUUAAGUCUGAUGUGAAAGCCCACGGCUCAACCGUGGAGGGUCAUUGGAAACUGGGGAACUUGAGUGCAGAAGAGGAAAGUGGAAUUCCAAGUGUAGCGGUGAAAUGCGUAGAGAUUUGGAGGAACACCAGUGGCGAAGGCGACUUUCUGGUCUGUAACUGACACUGAGGCGCGAAAGCUAGGGUAGCAAACGGG